rnacentral:rRNA from 1 species
GACGAACGCUGGCGGCGUGCUUAACACAUGCAAGUCGAGCGAUGAAGUUCCUUCGGGAAUGGAUUAGCGGCGGACGGGUGAGUAACACGUGGGUAACCUGCCUCAUAGAGGGGAAUAGCCUUCCGAAAGGAAGAUUAAUACCGCAUAAGAUUGUAGCUUCGCAUGAAGUAGCAAUUAAAGGAGUAAUCCGCUAUGAGAUGGACCCGCGUCGCAUUAGCUAGUUGGUGAGGUAACGGCUCACCAAGGCGACGAUGCGUAGCCGACCUGAGAGGGUGAUCGGCCACAUUGGGACUGAGACACGGCCCAGACUCCUACGGGAGGCAGCAGUGGGGAAUAUUGCACAAUGGGGGAAAUCCUGAUGCAGCAACGCCGCGUGAGUGAUGACGGUCUUCGGAUUGUAAAACUCUGUCUUCAGGGACGAUAAUGACGGUACCUGAGGAGGAAGCCACGGCUAACUACGUGCCAGCCGCCGCUGUAAGAC